GGUGAGUAACACGUGGAUAACCUACCUAUAAGACUGGGAUAACUUCGGGAAACCGGAGCUAAUACCGGAUAAUAUAUUGAACCGCAUGGUUCAAUAGUGAAAGACGGUUUUGCUGUCACUUAUAGAUGGAUCCGCGCCGCAUUAGCUAGUUGGUAAGGUAACGGCUUACCAAGGCAACGAUGCGUAGCCGACCUGAGAGGGUGAUCGGCCACACUGGAACUGAGACACGGUCCAGACUCCUACGGGAGGCAGCAGUAGGGAAUCUUCCGCAAUGGGCGAAAGCCUGACGGAGCAACGCCGCGUGAGUGAUGAAGGUCUUCGGAUCGUAAAACUCUGUUAUUAGGGAAGAACAAAUGUGUAAGUAACUAUGCACGUCUUGACGGUACCUAAUCAGAAAGCCACGGCUAACUACGUGCCAGCAGCCGCGGUAAUACGUAGGUGGCAAGCGUUAUCCGGAAUUAUUGGGCGUAAAGCGCGCGUAGGCGGUUUUUUAAGUCUGAUGUGAAAGCCCACGGCUCAACCGUGGAGGGUCAUUGGAAACUGGAAAACUUGAGUGCAGAAGAGGAGAGUGGAAUUCCAUGUGUAGCGGUGAAAUGCGCAGAGAUAUGGAGGAACACCAGUGGCGAAGGCGACUUUCUGGUCUGUAACUGACGCUGAUGUGCGAAAGCGUGGGGAUCAAACAGGAUUAGAUACCCUGGUAGUCCACGCCGUAAACGAUGAGUGCUAAGUGUUAGGGGGUUUCCGCCCCUUAGUGCUGCAGCUAACGCAUUAAGCACUCCGCCUGGGGAGUA
rnacentral:rRNA from 1 species